GAUGAACGCUGGCGGCGUGCCUAAUACAUGCAAGUCGAGCGAACGGACGAGAAGCUUGCUUCUCUGAUGUUAGCGGCGGACGGGUGAGUAACACGUGGAUAACCUACCUAUAAGACUGGGAUAACUUCGGGAAACCGGAGCUAAUACCGGAUAAUAUUUUGAACCGCAUGGUUCAAAAGUGAAAGACGGUCUUGCUGUCACUUAUAGAUGGAUCCGCGCUGCAUUAGCUAGUUGGUAAGGUAACGGCUUACCAAGGCAACGAUGCAUAGCCGACCUGAGAGGAUGAUCGGCCACACUGGAACUGAGACACGGUCCAGCCUCCUACGGGAGGCAGCAGUAGGGAAUCUUCCGCAAUGGGCGAAAGCCUGACGGAGCAACGCCGCGUGAGUGAUGAAGGUCUUCGGAUCGUAAAACUCUGUUAUUAGGGAAGAACAUAUGUGUAAGUAACUGUGCACAUCUUGACGGUACCUAAUCAGAAAGCCACGGCUAACUACGUG
rnacentral:rRNA from 1 species